rnacentral:rRNA from 1 species
CCUACGGGCGGCUGCAGUGAGGAAUAUUGGUCAAUGGGCGCGAGCCUGAACCAGCCAAGUAGCGUGAAGGAUGACUGCCCUACGGGUUGUAAACUUCUUUUAUAAAGGAAUAAAGUGAGGCCCGUGUGCCUUUUUGUAUGUACUUUAUGAAUAAGGAUUGGCCAACUCCGUGCCAGCAGCCGUGGUAAUACGGAGGAUCCGAGCGUUUUCCGGUUUUAUUGGGUUUAAAGGGUGGGUUGAUGGGUAGUUAAGUCAGUUGUGAAAGUUUGCGGCUCAACCGUAAAAUUGCAAUUGAUACUGGCAGUCAUGAGUACAGUUGAGGUAGGCGGAAUUCGUGGUGUAGCGGUGAAAUGCUUAGAUAUCACGAAGAACUCCGAUUGCGAAGGCAGCUUACUAGACUGCAACUGACAUUGAUGCUCGAAAGUGUGGGUAUCAAACAGGAUUAGAUACCCUAGUAGUC